UGGGGAAUAUUGGACAAUGGGGGAAACCCUGAUCCAGCGAUGCCGCGUGUGUGAAGAAGGCCUAAGGGUUGUAAAGCACUUUAGAUGGGGAGGAGAUGUCAUUCGAAAAUAUCGAGUGGCAGAGACGUUACCCGUAAAAUAAGCACCGGCUAACUCUGUGCCAGCAGCCGCGGUAAUACAGAGGGUGCGAGCGUUAAUCGGAGUGAUUGGGCGUAAAAGGCGAGUAGGCGGUGAAUUAAGUCAGUUGUGAAAGACCCGAGCUUAACGAGGGGAUAGCGACUGAUACUGGUUCGCUAGAGACUAGGAGAGGGGAGUGGAAUUUUCAGUGUAGCGGUAAAAUGCGUAGAUAUUGGAAGGAACACCAGUGGCGAAGGCGACUCUCUAGACUAGGACUGACGCUGAGGAGCGAAAGCGUGGGGAGCAAACAGG
rnacentral:rRNA from 1 species